rnacentral:snoRNA from 1 species
AUAUUGUGAUGAGCAAAAGAAUUCUGCAAUGCUGACAAUUUUCCUGCUCUGUCUUGUGAAAUUGUGUGUUGACACAUCUUCUACACUUGAUCUGAUU